AUCCCUGCCUGGUAUCUCUGUCCUUUCUGAUUUCGGUUAUAUAAUGUGGGCCACACUACGCAGACUCAGUGACAUCUCCAGCCUUCAUGGGACAAGGAGCAGCAGCGCAACCACCACCACCACCCGUCACACACGUGUUGCCGGACACAACGCACACACUUCCAGAGAAAGAAAAGACUGCUGCCCCCACACGCUUCACAAUACUUCACAAUGAACUUGAAACUGGUAAUUCUGGUGAUGCUAGCGAUGCUGAGCGUGGCUCAUGGUAUGCCGCAGUUCUUCAACAAAAGGAGAACUUUUCCCGGCCAGAGACUGCGAGGCGCCACCAAUUACGGCACUCACUCUUUCAGUGAGAGAGGUUACGUCGGCAGGCCCUUCGCUAGACUUCGCAGACAGGACCAUAAUUAAGCACGCGCCCCACAGGUCCUGCAAGGCUUCGUCACGCUCAGUGCAGCGUAUCUUCCUUCAUGUGGACAUAAGAAUAUAUGAACAUAAGGACAAGUAGAAAUAAAGAGACUGCAAAAGGCCAGUUGAUAAACACAAUGCAAAUGCUGAACACUUAAAACUUAACAUCUGCCAUCUUCCUUCUUAUUUUCACCCAAUUUCUUACAACUACCUAAUGCCUGGCCAUCUACUGAGUUCUUACUGAUUGUUACACUCAUCCGCAACUUGUCCAUGAACCAAUUUUUACGGGUCUCUUUUUAAAUAUAAAUUUGUUUAGUUUCGUACGAGUUCUGACUUGUUACCCUCCCAAAAAACCUGAUUUACAUCUCCUUUGUUCAGCCUUUUAGCCCAUUCAAACCCUUCAAUCCUAUCACCACGCAGUCUGCUCCUUUCCAGAGACAGCAGCUUAAUUCAGGUAUCUUAACGUAUUCCGUAAGACAUGUACUCUCUACACCAGCGUCUUUCAGCCUGGUGUGCGGGAGACCACAGCUGGUAUUGAUGCGUGUAUGGACAUUCUAGAUGGCGGCGGGAGAAGCACUCUUCAGAUGAUGGGCAAAACACCAUGACAGUUAAGCCUCUUUUCCAAGACGGCUAAUUGAUACAUUACUAGUAAUAGCGUUGAUGUGUUGUGGACAGACGGAAAAUACCAAUCAACUAGCAAUCAACUUAAGCCUUCCAUCACCAGAAUCUCAUUCACUUUAUAUUUCUGCCCGGAACCAUGCCAAGUCUGUUCUCCAACUAGCCAAAAACUCCUUCAUUAACAAAAAAUGUCAAAACCUUUCAAGAUCUAACUCCCCUCGUGACUUCUGGCAUCUAGCCAAAAAUAUCUCCAAUAACUUUGCUUCUUCUUCUUUCCCUCCUCUAUUUCAACCAGAUGGCACCACUGCUAUCACAUCUAUUUCUAAAGCUGAACUCCUCGCUCAAACCUUCGCUAAAAACUCUACCUUGGACGAUUCUAAGCUUGUUUCUCCUUCUCCUCCACCCUCUGACUACUUCAUGCCACCUAUUAAAAUUCUUCGCAAUGAUGUUUUCCAUGCCCUCGUUGGCCUAAACCCUCGGAAGGCUUAUGGACCUGAUGGGGUCCCUCCUAUUGUUCUCCGAAACUGUGCCUCCAUGCUUGCACCUUGCCUAGUCAAACUCUUUCAGCUCUGUCUGUCAACAUCUACCUUUCCUUCUUGCUGGAAAUUUGCCUACAUUCAACCUGUUCCUAAAAAGGGUGACCGUUCUAAUCCCUCAAACUACCGUCCUAUUGCUUUAAUUUCCUGCCUAUCUAAAGUUUUUGAAUCUAUCCUCAACAGGAAGAUUCUUAAACAGCUAUCACUUCACAACCUUCUAUCUGAUCGCCAGUAUAUGGGUUCCGUCAAGGCCGCUCUAAUGGUGAUCUGGCUUUCCUUACUUUUAGAGAUUUUCCUCUUUUAGAGAUUUUGGUGAAACUUUUGCUGUUGCCUUGGACAUAUCAAAAGCUUUCGAUAGAGUCUGGCACGAAGCUUUGAUUUCCGAACUACCCUCCUACGGCUUCUAUGCUUCUCUCUGUAACUUCAUCUCAAGUUUCCUUUCUGACCGUUCUAUUGCUGCUGUGGUAGACGGUCACUGUUCUUCUCCUAAAUCUAUUAACAGUGGUGUUCCUCAGGGUUCUGCCCUGUCACCCACUCUCUUCUUAUUAUUCAUUAAUGAUCUUCUAAACCAAACUUCUUGUCCUAUCCACUCCUACGCUGAUGAUACCACCCUGCACUUUUCCACGUCUUUUCAUAGACCUCCAACCCUUCAUGAGGUAAACAUUUCACGCAGGGAAGCCACAGAACACUUGACUUCUGAUCUUUCUAAAAUUUCUGAUUGGGGCAGAGCAAACUUGGUAUUGUUCAAUGCCUCAAAAACUCAAUUCCUCCAUCUAUCAACUCGACACAACCUUCCAGACAACUAUCCCCUCUUCUUCAAUGACACUCAACUGUCCCUCUCUUCUACACUGAACAUCCUUGGUCUGUCCUUUACUUAUAAUCUGAACUGGAAACUUCACAUCUCAUCUCUAGCUAAAACAGCCUCUAUGAAGUUAGGCGUUCUGAGAUGUCUCCGCCAGUUUUUCUCACCCCCCCCAGCUGCUAACUCUGUACAAGGGCCUUAUACUCCAUGUAUGGAGUAUGCUUCACAUGUUUGGGGGGUUCCACUCAUACUGCUCUUCUAGACAGGGUGGAAUCAAAAGCUUUUCGUCUCAUCAAUUCCUCUCCUCUAACUGACUGUCUUCAGCAUCUCUCUCACCGCCGCAAUGUUGCAUCUCUAGCUGUCUUCUACCGCUAUUUUCAUGCUAACUGCUCUUCUGAUCUUGCUAACUGCAUGCUUCCCCUCCUCCCGCGGCCUCGCUGCACAAGACUUUCUUCUUUCUCUCACCCCUAUUCUGUCCACCUCUCUAACGCAAGAGUUAACCAGUAUUCUCAAUCAUUCAUCCCUUUUUCUGGUAAACUCUGGAACUCCCUGCCUGCUUCUGUAUUUUCACCUUCCUAUGACUUGAAUUCCUUCAAGAGGGAGGUUUCAAGACACUUAUUCAUCAAUUUUUGACCACUGCUUUGACCCUUUUAUGGGACUGGCAUUUCAUUGGGCAUAUUUUUUAUUGAAUUUUUGUUGCCCUUGGCCAGUGUCCUUCCUACAUAAAAAAAAAAAAAACAGUUUAUGCCUGCGUAUCAACUGUACCCAUCACAAACAGGUGAACAAGGUGUUGCCCACCUUAAGUCUGGCUAUGACAGAUACUGAACUGUCUUUAAUUCAGUAGGAACCGGAGACGCUGACCUCGGCAAAAAUUAAGGAAAGGUGCAGCUAUGUAGUCUACUCGUCAUCCAUUCUGUCAACAGUGUGCUUCUUCCAAUGCCUGCUUUGUUAGGAAAAGUUUUGCUAUAUAAUGACAAGGAUAUGACCAGUGAAGGACUUAAGAUGUAUGCAUUCGUCGUUGUAAGAUAAAUUACUCAUUACAUCUGUGUGUGUGUGUGUGUGUGUGUGUGUGUGUGUGUAGUCACGUUAGUCUUACUAACUAUACUAAUUAUACGGAACACUUUCGUCAGAAAAGUUUCAGUGUGCAAUAUGUUGAUUUUUCCUCAGCUGUGAAAGUAAGUUGUGCUAAGCCUUACAACACUGUACAAACAAAAACACACGUCUCUUUGUCAGAAGAUUUUGUUAUAAAUCAACUAAUCAAUUACUUCAUUGAGUAAAUUAUUCUGUGAAAAGCUGCACGAUUCCCUCCUAUUGAAAACGAUGUUCUCGAGUUGGACUGAUAAAUUCCUGUGAACCCUGUGAUUUGUAGAACUGUGUACACUAAUACUGACUUCGGCUGCCGCAUUGCCUCGACCAGGAAAACUUGAUCAUUAGCUUUAUUUUUGUAAGUUUUCUAUGCAACCAAUAAAUGAGAAAGGAUU